rnacentral:lncRNA from 1 species
AUUUUUUCAUAAUUACUUGAUAGAGGUAGAUCUUGUUGAGGAUAAAGAGGUGUUAGCUGAGGUAGAUGAAGAAAUUCUUGUCAAAGUGAACUUCAAUAUGAUAGAGCGCCAACAAAUAACAAUGAUAAAGAACAUACUCUUUUGGAAGGGAAUUUGAGAAGUUCUAUAGUUAUUAUUGCGAUGUGGAAAGACUACCAGUCUCGAUUAGGAUCUUAAUGUGAGAAUUUGUGAUUGUGGUAUAAAAAUUUAGAAUUUAU